rnacentral:rRNA from 1 species
UACGUAGGGCGCAAGCGUUGUCCGGAAUUAUUGGGCGUAAAGAGCUCGUAGGUGGCUUGUCGCGUCUGCCGUGAAAGCCCAUGGCUUAACUGUGGGUCUGCGGUGGAUACGGGCUGGCUAGAGGUAGGUAGGGGUAAGCGGAAUUCCUGGUGUAGCGGUGAAAUGCGCAGAUAUCAGGAGGAACACCGGUGGCGAAGGCGGGUCUCUGGGCCGAUACUGACGCUGAGGAGCGAAAGCGUGGGGAGCGAACAGG